GCUCCACUUUUCAUCAUGGUGUACAAAGAUUUCCUCAGCAUCAGGUCUCUGUCAUGGAAGCCCCACAUCCCUGGAAGACAAAAAACACAACGACAGAGCUUGUCAGGACAGAUUACAAUAACUCCGGUGCCUCUAGACCUCGGCUGCCCUCAGAGCCCUCGCACUGGGGAGGAAAGAAUCUGAGGAGGCUGAAUAUGCCAUGUCUCUAGAACACAAAGUACAGCAGGUUUUUAGGUGUUACUCACCCAAAGAGGCAGCAUGGAGGAGGCAGUUACCAUCCCCUGUGGUGGCCAGAGGAAGAAGCUUCUUACAACUGGUGCACAUGGUGGACCACCAGUUCAGACGUCCUGAAAACACAAGGACACUCAGAAAGUCACCUUUGAUGACAAGCACUGCAGCCAGCAGACAAGCUACACAAGUGUAAAAAUACACGCUGCAGGUCACAGUAACAUGAGUGUCGGUAUUCAACGCAGAGAGCCACUGAGCUUUGCGGAACCAUGACGGCUCUAUUUCACAAUCAGUUGUUCUGUUAUGUAUAUAGGAGGAUCCUUGAUUGCAGAUCGAUGUUACAAUGUUCUUCCUACAGGUUAAAGAUUGCAAAACUGACAUUCUAGGUGGUUUAGGAGAGAGAGUGUAGUUUAGAAUAAAGAAUCUGAACUCUGGAAAUCUUCAAAUGAUUAAAUUUCACCUAGUUGAGUACAUGCAUCUUAAUACCAAUUGUCCAAUUGUGAAAUAAAGGAAAAAAAAAUAGAAAGUUGUUUCACACAUUGCACUCUGCACAUGCAUCAGUUGGUUACGUUCCAUUUUAGCCUGUAUAUGAUUCACCUUUUUAUUCAUACAACCACUGCAGUCCCCCGGAAGCUACUUUGAAACACUCCUCUAACUUUUCGAAAAAAAAAUAAAAUAAAAUAAAAAAAAAAGAAGUGAGAAUGAAGAAGAGCCCUGAGCACGACACAUAGGCUGACUGCAGGCGGACCACACUGCUCUGAGCCUGGCCAAUCUGGCUCCAUCAUUUAUUUAACAACAGUAAACACAGAGGAGCCUCUGAAUGAUUUAGCCUUCACUGUAGUCACAAUUAAACUGCAGCCUUUCCUUUUUUUCCUGCCACUUGCAGUUCUUUAUUUCUGAGCUACUGUAACCUCCUGUUGUUUUAUGAUGCUGGCCUCAUAGCGUGCUCCACAUGCAGUACAUAUGGACAAUUCUACCUGCUAGGAAAUACAGAAAGAUGCAUAUCGG